UGGGGAAUAUUGCGCAAUGGGGGAAACCCUGACGCAGCAACGCCGCGUGAAGGAUGAAGGUUUUCGGAUUGUAAACUUCUUUGAUGAGGGACGAAAAAAAUGACGGUACCUCAAAAACAAGCCACGGCUAACUACGUGCCAGCAGCCGCGGUAAUACGUAGGUGGCGAGCGUUGUCCGGAAUUACUGGGUGUAAAGGGCGUGUAGGCGGGAUUGCAAGUCAGAUGUGAAAUUCUUGGGCUUAACUCAAGAGCUGCAUCUGAAACUGUGAUUCUUGAGUACUGGAGAGGAUAGUGGAAUUCCUAGUGUAGCGGUGAAAUGCGUAGAUAUUAGGAGGAACACCAGUGGCGAAGGCGGCUAUCUGGACAGUAACUGACGCUGAGGCGCGAAAGCGUGGGGAGCAAACA
rnacentral:rRNA from 1 species